GACGAACGCUGGCGGCGUGCCUAAUACAUGCAAGUCGAGCGAGACUCUUCGGAGUCUAGCGGCGGACGGGUGAGUAACACGUGGGCAACCUGCCUGUCAGACUGGGAUAACACCGGGAAACCGGUGCUAAUACCGGAUAAUCCUUUUCUUCACAUGAAGGAAAGCUGAAAGACGGUUUCGGCUGUCGCUUACAGAUGGGCCCGCGGCGCAUUAGCUAGUUGGUGAGGUAACGGCUCACCAAGGCGACGAUGCGUAGCCGACCUGAGAGGGUGAUCGGCCACACUGGGACUGAGACACGGCCCAGACUCCUACGGGAGGCAGCAGUAGGGAAUCAUCCGCAAUGGACGAAAGUCUGACGGUGCAACGCCGCGUGAGCGAUGAAGGCCUUCGGGUCGUAAAGCUCUGUUGUUAGGGAAGAACAAGUACCGGAGUCACUGCCGGUACCUUGACGGUACCUAACCAGAAAGCCACGGCUAACUACGUGCCAGCAGCCGCAGUAAAAC
rnacentral:rRNA from 1 species